UUGAUGUUUUCUAUUUGCAAUCACUCACAGAGGUUAUGGUAGGAGAAAAAGUGAAGGAAAAGAUCAA
rnacentral:sRNA from 1 species